CGGGAAAGGCUGGGACCCGGCAUCAGGGCAUACCUGUGGCCGCUGCGGCCUAAGCUCCAACUGGGCCAGGGUGCGGAGAGUCCAGGCUGCUUCCAGGGCGAGUUCUCCUGAUUGUGACAUCACAUUCAUCCCCUGGGCGAUGGAGCUUGUUACUGGGAAGGAAGACUCAGUUGGAGAAUAGCCAACAAGAUGUGUUACUGGGAGAAUCUCUUCAGGGACUCUGAGUGGAGGCAUCAGGGGUUAGAGCCUUGUGAACAGGGAACCUGUCCCCAACGCUUGGAAGGACCUGGGUUUCAGUGAUGACACAUGGGGUAUGAUGUAACCCGUUUCCAGGGGGAUGUUGACGAAGAUCUUAUCUGCCCUAUUUGCAGCGGAGUCUUGGAGCAACUGUACAGGCACCUCAUUGUGAGCAUGCUUUCUGCAAUGCCUGCAUCACCCAGUGGUUUUCUCAGCAACAGAAGUGUCCAGUGGACUGUAGUGUUGUGACGGUCGCCCAUCUGCGCCCAGUACUUCGUAUCAUGCGGAACAUAUUAUCAAAGCUGCAGAUUGUCUGUGACAAUGCUGUGUUUGGCUGUAGUGCUGUUGUCCAUCUUGACAACCUCAUGUCUCACCUCAGUGACUGUUAGCACAACCCGAAGCGGUCUGUGACCUGUGAACAGGGCUGUGGCCUGGAGAUGCCCAAAGAUGAGCUGCCAAACCAUAACUGCAUUAAGCACCUGCGCUCAGUGGUACAGCAGCAGCAGACACGCAUCGCAGAGCUGGAGAAGACAUCGGCUGAACACAAACACCAGCUGGCAGAGCAGAAGCAAGACAUCCAGCUGCUAAAGAAAUACAUGUGUGCAAUCUGCAGUGUCAACCCCAACCUUCAGAACCUGGAGGACACAAUUGAAUACAAUAAGAUCCUAGAGUGGGUGAACUCCCUUCAGCCAGCAAGAUUGACCCGCUGGGGAGGGAUGAUCUCGACUCCUGAGGCCGUGCUCCAGGCUGUAAUCAAGCGCUCCCUGGCGGAGAGUGGCUGUCCUGCUUCUAUUGUCAACGAGCUGAUUGAAAGACUGUAGCUGGCCCCAGGGUCUGGCCACACUAGAGACUAGACAGAUGAACCGACGCUACUAUGAGAACUACGUGGCCAAGCGCAUCCCUGGCAAGCAGGCUGUUGUCGUGAUGGCCUGUGAGAACCAGCAUAUGGGUGAUGACAUGGUGCAAGAGCCAGGCCUUGUCAUGAUAUUUGCGCAUGGCGUGGAAGAAAUAUAGAACUCGACUGGCUAUCAGGAAGAGAUGGAAAUCAGAGAAUCCCAUCAUUCCAGCAGCUGGGACCUGAGUCCUCCCCAUUAUCCUUAAUAUUGUGGCUUAUAGCUGAGCCACACAUCUCCCUGCUCUUCUGGCACUGAAGGGCUCUGGGGUACUUUGCUCAGCCUUUCGGGUGGGAAACCCAGAUUUCCUCCCCUUGCCAUAUUCCCCUAAAAUGUCUAUAAAUUAUCAGUUUGGGUGGGAAAGCCCCCACUUCCAUCCAUUUUCCUGCUUAGGGUCCCUGGUUCGAGAUAUUUUCAGAAAGCACAAAGAGAUUCAUUUUCUCUGGAGGAUGAGGGCAGAGUGAGGAAUCUCUAAUCGUCUGUCUCCUCCAAAACCAGGGAACCAGAGCAGGCAGGCCUGUUGACUCUAAGUAGCAGACAUCCUGAAGAAAUGGUAAGGGUGGCGCCAAAUCUCUAGAAAUAUGUAGUGAGGCCAAUAAUUGGCCAUCACUGAUGGCCCUUAGGGAAAGACUGGACCUCUGUGCCAAGCAGUAUCCUUGUUCAGCCCACCUUAAAGGUGCAGGUUCCCACCUGGUCUACCAGUAUGCAGGCUGGGAUAUUGAACAUUUCCAGAUGAGCUCUUCUUUCCUACAAGUUUUCAUAAUUAGAGAAUGCCAGGGUUUAGGGUAGGGGUUAGUCUGUUGGGGUUGAUGUGUUCAGCAAGAAGCUAUGUCUAGCUUUUGCUAAAAUUGGUCGGCACUGCCUCUUGUGGCAUGAGCCAUAAUUGUUCCAUAGACCCCUCUCUAGCCCUGUGACUAGAGUUAGUUAUUUUGAUAAUUUCCUUUUGCCAUUGUUUGUUUAUAUUCCGUAAACCCUACCUACUGCCCACUUUUUUUUUUUUUUUAAGAAUGGCCUGAUCAUGGCUAUCCCAGCCACAUUGUUGGCAAUUUAAUUUAUUUACUUCCUUUUUUUGUUUUUUUAAGAAAGGCAAAAAGAAAAUAAAUCAAACUU